rnacentral:miRNA from 1 species
GAAGCUGCCUCUGGUCGUGGU